rnacentral:sRNA from 1 species
AUUUUAGUCUUCUGAAA